UUUAUUAUAAAAAUGCAUGUGUGUGUAGGUGACAUCAGAUCAAACCACACUAUGUAGUGUCCACAUCUGGGUGGGAUGUGCGGCAAACCCAAUAAGUGAGGCUUGCCAUAAAAUCAUCCCAGAUAAAAAUCCAUAGAUGGCCCAUAAUUCCACUUCUCUACAAAAAUAAAGACAAAGUCGAGGGGUCACAUGUUUCCACUCUUUGUGUCAUGGGAAUAAUCCAUGGCUGCUGAAGUAACUUUGAAUGUUGGACUCACCCCAACCUUAACAUAUAUAUAUAUAUAUAUAUAUAAAUUGUAGGUGAUUGAGGUGGUGUGUGUUUUUGGUUCCAACCCUAAAUGCUGAAACCUUGGUGUGGUGAGAUUAGGGAAAUGGGAGGGUUUAUUCAUUCAUUUAUAUGAACAUUAUUAUUGACAUUUUGAGUCCCUAAGACCACCAAAGAGUGCCAAGUCAUGCCUAAUAUCCAAGCAUGGCAUUGUACGCUCCACAAGUUUGCCUUAGUAUUUGGCUUUAUCACCACCAAAAAAUAAAUAAAUAAAUAAAUAAAUAUUUUCAGCUUGAAUGAGAAAACAUGUAUAACUUGAACUGCAACCAUGACUCAUUUGUUUUUAUUUUUUUUU
rnacentral:lncRNA from 1 species